UGGGGAAUCUUCCGCAAUGGGCGCAAGCCUGACGGAGCGACACCGCGUGCAGGAUGAAGGCCUUCGGGUUGUAAACUGCUGUCACGCCAUAGGAAUGUCAAACGGUAAACAGUCGUUUGAUUGACUAAAGCGAGAGGAAGAGCCGGCUAACUCUGUGCCAGCAGCCGCGGUAAGACAGAGGGCUCAAACGUUGUUCGGAAUCACUGGGCAUAAAGGGCGCGUAGGCGGCCUAACAAGUCGUUUGUGAAAUCCCCCAGCUCAACUGGGGAACUGCAUACGAUACUGUUUGGCUCGAGGACGGGAGGGGUAAGUGGAACUCCAGGUGGAACGGUGAAAUGUGUAGAUAUCUGGAGGAACACCGGUGGCGAAAGCGGCUUACUGGCCCGUAUCUGACGCUGAGGCGCGAAAGCUAGGGGAGCAAACGGGAUUAGAUACCCCCGUAGUCCCUGAGCGGGCUGGCAAGGCGCAU
rnacentral:rRNA from 1 species